rnacentral:rRNA from 1 species
GUGGGGAAUAUUGGGCAAUGGGGGAAACCCUGACCCAGCAACGCCGCGUGAGGGAAGAAGGUUUUCGGAUUGUAAACCUCUGUCCUUGGUGACGAAGGAAGUGACGGUAACCAAGGAGGAAGCCACGGCUAACUACGUGCCAGCAGCCGCGGUAAUACGUAGGUGGCAAGCGUUGUCCGGAAUUACUGGGCGUAAAGGGUGCGUAGGUGGCCUUUUAAGUUGGAUGUGAAAUACCCGGGCUUAACUUGGGGGGUGCAUCUAAUACUGGGGGGCUAGAGUGCAGGAGAGGGAAGCGGAAUUCCUAGUGUAGCGGUGAAAUGCGUAGAUAUUAGGAGGAACACCAGUGGCGAAGGCGGCUUUCUGGACUGUAACUGACACUGAGGCACGAAAGCGUGGGGAGCAAACAGGAUUAGAUACCCUAGUAGUCC